rnacentral:misc_RNA from 1 species
UACGUAGGUGGCGAGCGUUGUCCGGAGUUAUUGGGCGUAAAGCGCGCGCAGGCGGCCUCUUAAGUCUGCUGUGAAAGUCCGCGGCUCAACCGGCGAGGGGCAUUGGAAACUGGGAGGCUUGAGUAUAGGAGAGAAGAGUGGAAUUCCACGUGUAGCGGUGAAAUGCGUAGAGAUGUGGAGGAACACCAGUGGCGAAGGCGACUCUUUGGCCUAUAACUGACGCUGAGGCGCGGAAGCGUGGGGAGCAAGCAGG